rnacentral:RNase_P_RNA from 1 species
GAAGUUCGCCAGGCAACCGCUGAUCACGAAAGUGGUUGGAGGAAAGUCCGGGCCCCGCAGGGCGGAAUGCCGGCUAACGGCCGGGCGCUAUAAGUCCGGCGGCGAAAGCCGCCGGACCCAAGGCGACAGACAGUGCAACAGAAAGAUACCGCCGAUGGCCCGACUUUGACGCCGCAAGGCGGCAAAGUCCCCCUUCCGAAAGGGAGGGCGGUUCCUCUUCAGGAGGGGCGGGAUCAGGUAAGGGUGAAAUGGUGGUGCGGUUUGUUGCGUCGCGCAAGUGAUGCGGCAAGCUGUGCCGGCGCGGCGCAAGCUGCGCCGGGGUAAGAGCCCACCGCGUUUCUGGUAACAGAAACGGCAUGGCAAACCUCAUUCGGGGCAAGGCCAAAUAGGGGAGCAUUGGCGUGGCCCGCGUCGCUCCCGGGUAGGCUGCUAGAGGCCGUCGGUAACGGCGGUCCCAGAGGAAUGGUUGCCCACGA